UUUUUUUGCUUCUAAGAGACCAGAUGUAGCAGAAGACAAACUGGAUGACCUCCUUUAACCCACCAAAUGUUUGCUGGGAGACCAGGUCACGGGAGGGCUUGGUGGCACAGCGAUGUGAAUCUCUGAGACAGAUCAACACUCCAGGAAGGAUGCUGAGUAAAGAGACCCUCUCAACCCCAGGAGGAAGAAAGACGGGAAAACCUGGGUGUGGUACCAAAGAAGGAGAGAAGUGGGGAAGGAUAACAAGGACAGGUUCUUGGUUCGGAUGACGGCCUCCGAUUUUUGCAAGGAAGAUUUCCUAGAAACUUUUGUUUGUCCUCAUGCCUCUCUUCAGACAAGGAGAUACAAGGGAGCCCUCCCAGAGCAAAGAUCAACACCUCAUGCCAAGUUUCUUGGGAAACCACAUAUUUUUUUUAUUCAGUGGCUGGAUUUCCUGUACCUAGCAGA